CGGGUGAACAACAUAUCUCGAAGUGUGUGCCUCAUCAAGUAUUUUUUUCGCAAUCUCAACAUUAGGAAUGCACAACCUACCCUGAUAUCUUAGAAUACCAUCACCACCAAUGUCAAAUAAUUACCUUUUAUUGACCUACAUUUUUCUUGAUUUGCAUUAAGAUGGGAUCUUCAAUCUUCUUUUCUUUAACUUCUGCACAAAGGGGCGACUUAGAUAUCUCAUGAACAAUCACCCCUCC
rnacentral:lncRNA from 1 species